AUUCAUUUGGUGUGCGGCAGGAGUGAAUAAAUGGAAACUGAAAUCAAUGAAUGACUCCUUAUGUUAAAGAAUGAAGCCUGUGACAGAGACUGUUAAAUUGUGCAGUUCUUCUGUGUAUGUAUUGUUACUUCUCUUGAUGUUUCCCAAAGACAUCACAUUUGGGUGGAAAAUACAUUUGUUCCAGUAUCGAUGUCUUCCUACAGGAUGAGGGGUUAUCUAUACAUGGUAGGAAAAACACAACAAGUGCAAUAUGAUCUGAGGAACUGCCAGACUGUGGAGACAGAAGUGUGGACAGAUUUUGAGCUCCUGAAUUAUAACUGUGGCUUUGAGCAGCAGGAGCUGGACUGGAAAGAAGCUCAGAGAGUCUGGAAAUGUAGUGGAUGGGCAGCACGGUGAUCAACGACCCUACCACUCCGCUCUCUUGGGAAGAGUCGCCGAAAAGAAAGUGGAAGACAGGUGGUCUGGGGAAGAGAUCUCCAGCCAAUGUAGGAACGUGCUGCUCUCUCAGUUUUCAUCCAGUUACGAGCAGAGCCUGGGAACUCCCGCAGAAAUAGCUCGUGUUGGUUGUUGGUCAAAUUCUGCACUGUUGAGGGACCUCGACACUGGACGGGAGAUGGCUGGCCAAGGAGGGGGCUCAGUCUCAGGGAGUUGGCUGGUGCCGUGGAUGUUUGCUUUCCCUCUCCUGGACAGGCGGCGUGUUCCCACUGGUAUAGAAACUGCUGGAUGAAGCAAGACUGACAGCGAUCCAGGUCGUGGAACAUAAGUAGCAAAUGAUAUUUGGAUAGUUGCAAUUGUACAAACCCUGAAUUGAGCCUCAUCUUAUUCUGUAGCACUUGAGAGGGCUUUUUCAGACACUUUCCUGGGAUGAGUCCUGCUGCCUGUGCAGCUCAGAAGUGCAGACUUCACGGGGAGCGGCUUCAUGAAGCCUGCACCAAGUGCAGUCAAGAAUUAAAAUUUUUGAACUGAACUGGAGCUGGAAAAUGAACUUGCUAGCUGAAGAGCUGAUGGCUGCAAUUCCUUCACGCUGUUGAAAUCCUGUUCAACUUUUCCCUUUUAUUUCUUCCCAAAGAUCUGUAUUUAUUUCUGCCCGCAGCUGGGGUAGGUGCUUCACUUAAUAGGUCAGUCCUGUUUGGUAGGAGAACGUCCUACUUUCCAUGCCUGGCAUUGGAAAUUUUUCUUUAGCCCAUCAAUGUUAAUGAGCGUUUUCAGCCAUUUCAGCGUGUCUGGCAUGCAUAGAUUUUAUGGUGGUCAUGACCAGAGGCUCCCAGGGGCUCAUGCUGACAAGAGCUCCCGACGGCAGCACGGCCAGGCCUCA
rnacentral:lncRNA from 1 species